rnacentral:rRNA from 1 species
UACGUAGGGGGCAAGCAUUGUCCGGAAUCAUUGGGCGUAAAGAGCGCGUAGGCGGCCCUGUAAGUCCGUUGUGAAAGUCAAGGGCUCAACCCUUGGAUGCCGGUGGAUACUGCAGGGCUAGAGUCCGGAAGAGGCGAGUGGAAUUCCUGGUGUAGCGGUGAAAUGCGCAGAUAUCAGGAAGAACACCCGUGGCGAAGGCGGCUCUCUGGGACGGUACUGACGCUGAGACGCGAAAGCGUGGGGAGCGAACAGG